rnacentral:rRNA from 1 species
GCCAAUGGGAUGAACUAAGCCAUGCGAGUCAUUGUAGCAAUACAAGGCAGACGGCUCAGUAACGCGUAGUCAACCUAACCUAUGGACGGGAAUAAUCUCGGGAAACUGAGAAUAAUGCCCGAUAGAACACUAUAUCUGGAAUGGUUUGUGUUCCAAAUGAUUUAUCGCCAUAGGAUGGGACUGCGGCCUAUCAGUUUGUUGGUGAGGUAAUGGCCCACCAAGACUAUUACAGGUACGGGCUCUGAGAGGAGUAGCCCGGAGAUGGGUACUGAGACACGGACCCAGGCCCUAUGGGGCGCAGCAGGCGAGAAAACUUUGCAAUGUGCGAAAGCACGACAAGGUUAAUCCGAGUGGUUUCUGCUAAAGGAACCUUUUGUCGGUCCUAGAAACACCGAUGAAUAAGGGGUGGGCAAGUUCUGGUGUCAGCCGCCGCGGUAAAACCAACACCUCAAGUGGUCAGGAUGAUUAUUGGGCCUAAAGCAUCCGUAGCCCGUUUUGUAAGUUUUCGGUUAAAUCCAUACGCUCAACGUAUGGGCUGCCGGGAAUACUGCAUGACUAGGAAGUGGGAGAGGUAGACGGUACUCGAUAGGAAGGGGUAAAAUCCUUUGAUCUAUUGAUGACCACCUGUGGCGAAGGCGGUCUACCAGAACACGUUCGACGGUGAGGGAUGAAAGCUGGGGGAGCAAACCGGAUUAGAUACCCGGGUAGUCCCAGCUGUAAACUAUGCAAACUCAGUGAUGCAUUGGCUUGUGGCCAAUGCAGUGCUGCAGGGAAGCCGUUAAGUUUGCCGCCUGGGGAAGUACGUACGCAAGUAUGAAACUUAAAGGAAUUGGCGGGGGAGCACCACAAGGGGUGAAGCCUGCGGUUCAAUUGGAGUCAACGCCGGG